rnacentral:lncRNA from 1 species
CACCGGCGGGGGACCACGUGGCCAUGCUGGAGCGCGUCAACCAGAGCAGCUACAGCAGCCCCCCUGCGCUCAGCCCCGCGCUAGCCCGGCUGCUGGCCGAGCUGCUGUGCCACAACCCCCUGCGCCGCCUGCGCUACCUCCACCACUUCCAGGACCACCCUUUCUUCCGCGGGGUGACCUUCGACGCCGACCUCCUGCAGAAGGACCCGGUGGCGGUGGCCGUGGCCCCGCGCCCCCCCCCCCCCCCCCCCCCCCAAACCCCCCCCCCCAGGCAGCGGCUGGGCCCUCAGCGCUGUGCGUCUCCCCACGGGACUGUUAUAAAUGAAGUCUCAACUCAAUCUGGAUUUAGGAAUAUUUAUAAAGGGAAUAUUUAUAAAAGGUAUAAAAGGCAAGGAACCAGCGCUGGGUGUGCGGGGAGUCUGCGCUCCACCAACAGGCACACACAAACAUCAAACAUUCAUUCCUUCUUUCUGCUCCUUUAUUGAUGACAUACCUUCAUCAUGUUGACUUUUUUUUCUUUCUCUCUCUUUUUUUAUUUUAUUUUAUUUUGUUUUAUUUUAUUUAUUUUAUUAUUUUUUUUUAUCCUGAGGGCAGCCUCCCCUCUUAUACCCUUCACCCCACAGCAGUUCUUCUCAAACCAACUUUUCGUUGGUCAAACAACUUUGCAAAUAACAACAACAGCAAACACCCAGACACUUCCAUGCCCCAGCGGCUGGAGACCAAGCAACCCCAGGCUGCAGGGAGCCUCCUGAGCCACCCUUCUGGGUUCCCUCUAAGCUCUUUCCCAUUCCUGAUGGCCUCAUCGCUAAGAGUCUGAUGCUACCAUCGACCAUGGCCACGCUCCCACCUCUUUAUUAAUAUAAUUUUAUCAAUAAAUUAUUUAUUAAUAAAUUAUUUAUCGAUAAA